UACAGAGGGGGCAAGCGUUGUUCGGAAUUACUGGGCGUAAAGGGCGCGUAGGCGGCCUGCUAAGUCGAACGUGAAAUCCCUGGGCUCAACCCAGGAACUGCGUCCGAUACUGGUUGGCUUGAAUCCGGGAGAGGGAAGUGGAAUUCCGGGUGUAGUGGUGAAAUGCGUAGAUAUCCGGAGGAACACCAGUGGCGAAGGCGACUUCCUGGCCUGUUCUUGACGCUGAGGCGCGAAAGCUGGGGGAGCAAACGGG
rnacentral:rRNA from 1 species